UACGUAGGGCGCAAGCGUUGUCCGGAAUUAUUGGGCGUAAAGAGCUCGUAGGCGGCUUGUCACGUCGGAUGUGAAAGCCCGAGGCUUAACCUCGGGUCUGCAUUCGAUACGGGCUAGCUAGAGUGUGGUAGGGGAGAUCGGAAUUCCUGGUGUAGCGGUGAAAUGCGCAGGUAUCAGGAGGAACACCGGUGGCGAAGGCGGAUCUCUGGGCCAUUACUGACGCUGAGGAGCGAAAGCUAGGGGAGCGAACAGG
rnacentral:rRNA from 1 species